AAGCCGCCGAUAGCAGCGACCCUCUCCCAAGCUACACUGCUCCUGAUCUUCGUCGCCCCACACCGUCGUACUAUGCACAGCUCAGCCUGGCCAUGAUGCUCUUAGCCCGCGGACGCUCACAGCGUAACCGACGGUGGCGACUCACUCCCAACCCGUGUUGCUCUCCAUCAGUGCUGACGGAUUAGUUUGUUUUACAGUGUGGGCACCAGGUCUCUGAGUAGUUUAAAUCUGAACGCAACACCAAGGCUGCCAGCCUGAGCAUUGCCGAACAGUACAGCAAAGCAUUUUCUGAACUUGCUAAAAGCAAACAUGGAAGCUCUCCCUAAUUCAUCGAUUAAAGGUGGCUCACAUAGAUCGUUCUCUUACUGACUAAUUAAUUAGAUUAUGGAUUUUCUUUAUGUUAUUAUUACUGAUCUCAGAUGCUUAGUUUCCAAGUUUAUCUCAAAACUUCACCUUCUAUGAAUGCCCCCAGGUGGUGCAUAUCUAAAAGCUCUUUGUGCAUUCUUAAGAUUUUUGUAUAUGCAUUUGCGUGAAUUGAGCCCGGAUCUGAUAUGGUUUGGCUAUGUUCAUGGUUUUCUUUGGUCAUGUAUGAGUGGAAAAGGGAGGCAGGGAAGUUCCAGUUUGUGAGGACAGUGGCGACAUGGUUGACUGAAUGGCAAUAGGAAGAAGGCACAUCUCAUAUAAUUGUUUUAUUCAAGACAAGUCUACACUCUCUUAUGUCAAAUUUGCACAGAUUUCCCUGCCCUAGGCUAUUUCUAAGGGGGAGAGAAGAGUGUUAUUUUUUGGGGGGGAUUACAAAGAAUGGUAGCGCAUGAGGAGUAUUAGCCACGGAGGAGGGAGGAGACUGACAUGAGGAAAACAUAUUCUGGAUCGAUUUGGUUCUCAUGGUGGCAUCUUCCCUGCUUUCUCCUUUAUUUUUAUUUCCAACACUCUUUGGUACAGAGCGAUUAACAAACAACUGAACUGAAUAUUGCUUUUUCUCCUUUUCAGAUAAGUUAGUUUACAUUAGUUUUCUGUUUGCUUUCCGUAUGGAUCUAUAUAUGUUAUUUUUAUAUCCAGUUUUCUGGGUGCUUUUCAAAAAGGGGGAGACCCAUGGCCGAUAUAGUUGCAUUAAGGUGCAAUUUGAUAACUAAAUACAUAAUAUAAGUCCAUCAAAAUAUUACAUGCAUGUGUGCUGUUUGUGCUUGUAUACCUUCAAUCUGCUUUGUGGAAGGCUGUUCGUAUUAAACUUUAGUGCUCGGUUGUUCAUCAUAGUCCCAUUCCCUUGAUAAUUAAUAUUGAAGCAAUGAAAAAUAGGUGAAAUUGCAAGAAACUUGAAGAAGUGGAGGAACAUGACUCAGUCUGUCAUUGGGGACAUGUACUGUUACAGAUACACUCUGUAUUUCUACCUAUCGUUGGUGUGAUGUUUGAACAUUAAGUUGUCAUUUAAUUAUGGCAUUCCCUUCUGCUUUUGUUUAUGCUAUAACAAU